UACGUAGGGGGCAAGCGUUGUCCGGAAUCAUUGGGCGUAAAGCGCGUGUAGGCGGCCUUGUAAGUCCGUUCUGAAAGCCCGGGGCUCAACCCCGGGAGGCGGAUGGAUACUGCAAGGCUCGAGUACGGAAGAGGCGAGUGGAAUUCCCGGUGUAGCGGUGAAAUGCGCAGAUAUCAGGAGGAACACCGGUGGCGAAGGCGGAUCUCUGGGCCUGUUCUGACGCUGGAGGCGCGAAAAGCUAGGGGGAGCGAACAGG
rnacentral:rRNA from 1 species